CUUUUUUAAAAAAUGCGCCGUUACAAUCGAAAUUGCUCGCGAUAGACAACUCGAAUAUAUCGAUAAUCAGCGCCACCACUCGUGGCGUCACGUCGAUGAGAACUUCGCAGAUUUAGUGCGCAAUUCGAAACGGUAACCUGUAGACGAAAUUGAUGUUUAUAACACGUAGUGAAACGAGCGGCAUUAACGCGUGGUUAUAAGCGAUUCAAAUUACAUCGGUAUAUAGACGGCUACCUACUACAAUCAGUGUGCAUCAUGUACAAUUACAUGUGACUCCGGCGUGUGCAACCACCGAUUAAUUUAUCGUUCCAUUAUGAAAUAUUAACCUUCCAAUCGGCUACUUUAUUGGAGUUUAUCGCGUCGACAGUGCUUCGUAACUUUACACCUCGAGAGUAAUAAUAGUGCAUUAUAAUUUGGUGAAAGAGAGACACGAAGGAUUGUAAAUAGAACAUUACAAAGAUAUUUCAAGCGAGUAUGCAUGAAUAAAUGAAUUGAGUGUAUGGAUCGAUAUCUUGGUCGGCAGCUAUCCAGCCUAAGCGAAUAUUUAAGAAUUCAUUAUUCCUUCUUGCCAAAGGUUUACCGGAGUGAAAGCUAAGCCUCGUCGGGGAUCGAAAAUCUCGAAUAAGACGAGCCAUGCAUUAUAGAUACCCAUUCAGAGCACCGGUGGGUACUUCGUAACCACGUUGGCACCGGAAGAGCCUAGUUAAGGUGUGCCCUCAGACAGGCGGCCGAAAAAAGAGAGAGAGAUCAAACCACCUUCCACAAAUAGAAGUGAUACGGUAAAAUGAGGGGGGAAAAAAGAGAAAUCAGACUAUCUUUUAUGAGUAAAAGUGACGAAUCGAGAAAAGGAAAGAAGAAACGAAGAGUAGAAUGAAACAAUAGAAAGGAAAUCAGAGAGAAGAUUGUACAGAGGAAUCAGUCAGAGGAAAGGUGAGAUUAGAUCACUUCCUACAAAUGAAAGUGGAUACAGAGAAUUGAGAAAAUUGAAAGAAUGGGAAAUGAAGAGUCGGGAAAGAAGUCGCACAAAUAAUUGAAUAAUCGAGAAAUGAAAAAGGAAAGAAAGAGAACGGGAAACGAGGAUCGAAAAGAGAUAGAAAAGGCAUGAGGACGAAAAGGGAACAGAGAAGAGAAAUACCUAUGGUGAUAUGGAUGGAGAAGGUUGGUGAGAAAAGAUGGUAUGGCAUGGCAAAAAGAGAGCGGAUACGUUGGGUGGGGGUAGGGUAGAGGGUUCAAAUGAUUUAGCCCCGCCGUGGGGUUAGAUCCGCAAUUUCGUUUGAAACAUUCAUGAGAAAUAUCCCCCGUCUAGUACCGCAGCUGCAGCGUUUAAAGAAUUGCGCCACGCGGUCGCGACCGUUUACUUAUCUGGAUGGCUUCCUCCUCGGGGCUUCCACCCAGUCUUGAAGAAACCAGGGAAGAAUGUUUCGCCCGCAUAACCGGAUCUUUCUCCGAGGCCAGGCCUUACGAACUGAAAAAAGAA